rfam:Otolemur garnettii contig056044, whole genome shotgun sequence.
GCGCCUGUGGCUCAAAGGAGUAGGGCGCCGGCCCUAUAUGCCAGAGGUGGCGGGUUCAAACCCAGCCCUGGCCCA